AAUGGGAAGUGAAGAGAAUUGUAUUAAGAAAAUUCAUGAUUGAAGUAUUAUUAUAACAUAGUAGUGGACGUAAUUCUGAUCCCAUU